rnacentral:pre_miRNA from 1 species
UCUUAUGCGUGAACAAAGAAAGUGGUUUCUUGAAAUGGAAUCUACUCCUGAUAAAGAUGCUGUGAA